UACAGAGGGGGCAAGCGUUAUUCGGAAUUAUUGGGCGUAAAGGGCGCGUAGGCGGCCUGGCAAGUGGAAGGUGAAAUCCCUCGGCUUAACCGAGGAACUGCCCUCCAAACUGCUUGGCUUGAGUCCGGGAGAGGUGAGUGGAAUUCCCAGUGUAGCGGUGAAAUGCGCAGGUAUCGGGAGGAACACCAGUAGCGAAGGCGGCACUCUGGGCCGGUACUGACGCUGAGGAGCGAAAGCGUGGGGAGCGAACAGG
rnacentral:rRNA from 1 species